AUAAAGGCCUGUCAAUGACAACUCCAUUAAUUUAACACGGGCCAUGCUGCUGCUGCGGCGGGCGCCUUUCACCGGCCCGUCAGUUAAAACCGUAUCAUUAGCAAUAUGAGAACUGACUGUGAAUAAGUCUUUCACUUUAGACCGCUGCUCAAUUGAGACUAUUGUAGCCAAAAAUGGCUAUAGAUCAUUUAUCUGUUGUCAGGGUUGUAUUGGAGAUAAUGAGAGAUAAUGGUAGACUGCUUGAUAAGUGAAUUAUUCGACCUCCGUAUUUACAUUUCCUAUAUGUAGGACGUUUAGAGGUCGAAACUACAGGAGAGAUGAUGGGACUACGCGGAGUUGAGUGAUAGGAACAGAAUGAUGACUGAAAAACGUAUGUUUAUCAAUCACGACUUUUUAAAAUUAUGUUUUAAAAAAAAAAAAUCUUCCAGUAUUAAAACAGCAGAUUCUGUAUUUGUUAAUUAAGAUAGUCCAAAGUUGUUACAGAAACGUUGCAAAAUUAUUAGCAUCCAUUUGCUCUUGGAUACCAACGGUUCAGUGUGUAAAAGCGCAUUUCUCUUCUCGUCAUCCUGAACGUUAUAAUAUCAGACUCAAUAGGUCGUCAGGAUCUGGCCUGUGUGCUCACAGACAGACAGGGACAGCACGUUGUAUUACCUGUCCUGGAAGCAGCCUAAACAUGUUGUAUUACCUGUCCUGGAAGCAGCCUCAACAUGUUGUAUUACCUGUCCUGGAAGCAGCCUAAACAUGUUGUAUUACCUGUCCUGGAAGCAGCCUCAACAUGUUGUAUUACCUGUCCUGGAAGCAGCCUAAACAUGUUGUAUUACCUGUCCUGGAAGCAGCCUCAACAUGUUGUACUACACUGCUUCACUGGGUUUAAUCCUAUAAACAUUUGUCAUAAAAAAAAAAAAACUCAGUCUACAAUAUUAAACAUUUAUCUCUGCCAAAAUGUGACCAUCAAGCAGAGAAUAGUGUCCCCUCUAAAGGAACUGAACCAGAACCAUUCAUAUUACACUAGGAGGCUGUAGGAGCAGGUCCAGCUGCCAGAACCAUUCAUAUUGAACUAGGAGGCUGUAGGAGCAGGUCCAGUUACCAGAACCAUUCAUAUUGCACUAGGAGGCUGUAGGAGCAGGUCCAGUUACCAGAACCACUCAUAUUGCACUAGGAGGCUGUAGGAGCAGGUCCAGUUACCAGAACCAUUCAUAUUGCACUAGGAGGCUGUAGGAGCAGGUCCAGUUACCAGAACCAUUCAUAUUGAACUAGGAGGCUGUAGAAGCAGGUCCAGUGAAUUUAGUUUGGGUCUGCAUGAGAUCACUAGACUGAGGAGUCACUCUCACGUUAGAAGAAUUAAGUCUAUUCAGAAAAAUAGAGCAAAAUAG
rnacentral:lncRNA from 1 species